rnacentral:misc_RNA from 1 species
CUGACAUCUUGAAGUUGACGUUGCAUUCAAACGAGGUUCAGCUUUUGUUCGGUAAAGUGUGGAACUUCGAAAACUCCAACAACUUUGUAUGUUUGUGGAAAUAUGUGUUUUUAUAUGCGAAUGCACAUUAUCAAAAUAUGCUACGAAUGUCCUUAGGAUAACAUCCUAUCUAAAGAAUCGAAUGAACCACCAAUAAAACUUCAAAAAUAAGUUUUUAGUGAGUAGAAUACCACAGUGAUGUUGCCUUCAUGUGUUGUGAGGCCAGGUUUACAACCUAUGACAUACCUUGUAAGAAGCUACGUUGCGCGAGCUGCGAAGAAGAUUAAACCUAGAUCUGAUCGCCCUGAGAACAAACACUUUAUGGAUUUUAGACGUGUACAUCUGAAAGGUGGCAAAGGUGGAAAUGGAAUGAUGUCAUUUCUUAGUUUAUUUGCUAAUGAGUUUGCUGGACCAGAUGGUGGGGAUGGUGGUUGUGGAGGCCAUGUCAUACUCCAAGCUGACACCAAUGUUAAGGCCCUGAAUCAUGUGAAGACAGAGUACAAGGCAGCUGAUGGAGAGAAUGGGAAGUCCAAGUGUUGCCAUAGCAAGAAUACUGAACACACAUACGUUUCUGUUCCAAUUGGUACAAUCUGCAAAGACGAGUCUGGUUCUGUAGUUGCCGAUCUCGCUAAGCAAAAUGCAAUAUUUGUUGCUGCACGCGGUGGUGCUGGUGGCCAUGGCAACCAUUAUUUCCUAUCCAAUGAAAAGAGAGCUCCAACUACUCAUGAGAUGGGAGCAGCUGGAGAGGAUAAACACCUAUUGUUGGAAUUGAGAACUAUUGCUCAUGCGGGAUUGAUUGGAUUCCCUAAUGCUGGAAAGUCAACCCUACUACGUGCAGUAUCGAGAGCACGUCCCAAAGUGGCUGCAUACCCCUUCACCACUCUUAAUCCACAUGUGGGCAUAGUGGAAUAUGAAGACAUGGUUCAAGUUGCAGUUGCUGAUAUACCAGGUCUUAUAGAGGGCGCACACCAAAACAGAGGCCUUGGUAUUUCAUUCCUGCGUCACAUCGAGCGUUGCUUAUGCCUGCUUUACGUCAUAGAUCUCUCGGUAGAUGAGCCAUGGACUCAGCUAGACAACCUCAAAUACGAACUUGAACAAUACAGCGAAGGAUUGUCUGAACGCCGACAUGCUAUAAUUGGCAAUAAGAUUGACUUGAAAAAAUCUCAGGAUAAUUUUGAAUUACUGAAAGCUAGGACUGAUCUUCCAGUGAUUGCCAUAUCAGCUAAGAAACUGUUAAACAUUGAGGAAGUGGAGCUACAUUUAAGACAGUUAUAUGAUAAUAAUGUUUCACAAGAACAGGGUGAUGAAGAUGAUUAAACACACACCAGUGAACUCCCCAGCAUUAAAGCAAGUGGGUGCAGUACCCAGAUGAGAUUUCAAAAUCAGGCUUGCACCCAUCUGAAAAUUCUUUUACACCCACUUGCAAAUGACGAAAAUCAUGAAAAAUGGGGCAUAUUUUGUCUAAUUUUCAUCC